CCCUUAGAUGUUCUGGGCUGCACACGUGCUACACUGGCAGGUUUAGCGAGCUUCAUGCCCUGAUCUGAAAGGAAUGGGAAAUCUUUUCAAAACCUGCCGUGCUUGGGAUAGAUGUUUGCAAUUAUUCAUCUUCAACGAGGAUUGCCUUGUAAGCGCACGUCAUCAGCGUGCAUUGAAUACGACCCUGUAUUCUGUACACACCGCCCGUCGCUCCUACCGAUUGAAGUUUUCGGUGAGUUGACAGGAGGAUUUUUUUGAAACUGGUUCGCCAGUGGAUUUUAGAUCCAAAUGCCAACGAAUCGAUGGCUUUAGAGGAAGGAGAAGUCGUAACA
rnacentral:rRNA from 1 species